rnacentral:misc_RNA from 1 species
AUUUACCAUUUAGCACCACUCUCCUCCUCCACCACCACCUACGCCAUCACCACCUCAUAAAAAAUGCUUACUCCUAGACAAAAACAACGAAAGGUGGUUGAUGCAUGAGACUCCUCAAUACAUAUCCCUUCCUCUCUCUCUCUUUUUUCUUUCCUUUGACUAUUCUUUUCUUUCACCACCUUCCUCUCCUAAAAUCCCAUAACCCCUUUUCUCUCUCUUAACAGAUUUUUCUGUUUCUUUCCUCGGUUUGUUCGCUUUCUCAACUACCAUCACCUCCUCCUUCAAGUUGCGACUGAUCUUGCCUCCUGUGAUCCAAGGAGCAAGGUGAUCAAUGCUAAAGGCCGGUGUCUAAGCCAUUGUGGACUGAGACGAAGAUUAUAAUCCACUAUGGUUAGCUUAAGAAGGCGUAAACUCUUGGGACUAUGUGCUGGAAGAAGUUCUUUCUUGACUCCACUUCCUCG